GAUGAACGCUGGCGGCGUGCCUAAUACAUGCAAGUCGAGCGAACGGACGAGAAGCUUGCUUCUCUGAUGUUAGCGGCGGACGGGUGAGUAACACGUGGAUAACCUACCUAUAAGACUGGGAUAACUUCGGGAAACCGGAGCUAAUACCGGAUAAUAUUUUGAACCGCAUGGUUCAAAAGUGAAAGACGGUCUUGCUGUCACUUAUAGAUGGAUCCGCGCUGCAUUAGCUAGUUGGUAAGGUAACGGCUUACCAAGGCAACGAUGCAUAGCCGACCUGAGAGGGUGAUCGGCCACACUGGAACUGAGACACGGUCCAGACUCCUACGGGAGGCAGCAGUAGGGAAUCUUCCGCAAUGGGCGAAAGCCUGACGGAGCAACGCCGCGUGAGUGAUGAAGGUCUUCGGAUCGUAAAACUCUGUUAUUAGGGAAGAACAUAUGUGUAAGUAACUGUGCACAUCUUGACGGUACCUAAUCAGAAAGCCACGGCUAACUACGUGCCAGCAGCCGCGGUAAUACGUAGGUGGCAAGCGUUAUCCGGAAUUAUUGGGCGUAAAGCGCGCGUAGGCGGUUUUUUAAGUCUGAUGUGAAAGCCCACGGCUCAACCGUGGAGGGUCAUUGGAAACUGGAAAACUUGAGUGCAGAAGAGGAAAGUGGAAUUCCAUGUGUAGCGGUGAAAUGCGCAGAGAUAUGGAGGAACACCUGUGGCGAAGGCGACUUUCUGGUCUGUAACUGACGCUGAUGUGCGAAAGCGUGGGGAUCAAACAGGAUUAGAUACCCUGGUAGUCCACGCCGUAAACGAUGAGUGCUAAGUGUUAGGGGGUUUCCGCCCCUUAGUGCUGCAGCUAACGCAUUAAGCACUCCGCCUGGGGAGUACGACCGCAAGGUUGAAACUCAAAGGAAUUGACGGGGACCCGCACAAGCGGUGGAGCAUGUGGUUUAAUUCGAAGCAACGCGAAGAACCUUACCAAAUCUUGACAUCCUUUGACAACUCUAGAGAUAGAGCCUUCCCCUUCGGGGGACAAAGUGACAGGUGGUGCAUGGUUGUCGUCAGCUCGUGUCGUGAGAUGUUGGGUUAAGUCCCGCAACGAGCGCAACCCUUAAGCUUAGUUGCCAUCAUUAAGUUGGGCACUCUAAGUUGACUGCCGGUGACAAACCGGAGGAAGGUGGGGAUGACGUCAAAUCAUCAUGCCCCUUAUGAUUUGGGCUACACACGUGCUACAAUGGACAAUACAAAGGGCAGCGAAGCCGCGAGGUCAAGCAAAUCCCAUAAAGUUGUUCUCAGUUCGGAUUGUAGUCUGCAACUCGACUACAUGAAGCUGAAAUCGCUAGUAAUCGUAGAUCAGCAUGCUACGGUGAAUACGCUCCCGGGUCU
rnacentral:rRNA from 1 species